rnacentral:rRNA from 1 species
CGUAGGUGGUUUGUUAAGCGAGAUGUGAAAGCCCCGGGCUUAACCUGGGAACGGCAUUUCGAACUGGCAGGCUAGAGUGUGGUAGAGGGUAGUGGAAUUUCCUGUGUAGCGGUGAAAUGCGUAGAUAUAGGAAGGAACACCAGUGGCGAAGGCGGCUACCUGGACCAACACUGACACUGAGGUGCGAAAGCGUGGGGAGCAAACA